UACGUAGGGUGCGAGCGUUUGUCCGGAAUUACUGGGCGUAAAGAGCUCGUAGGUGGUUUGUCGCGUUGUUCGUGAAAACUCACAGCUUAACUGUGGGCGUGCGGGCGAUACGGGCAGACUGGAGUACUGCAGGGGAGACUGGAAUUCCUGGUGUAGCGGUGAAAUGCGCAGAUAUCAGGAGAACACCCGUGGCGAAGGCGGCUUCUGGGACGGUACUGACGCUGGAGACGCGAAAGUGUGGGGAGCAAACGGG
rnacentral:rRNA from 1 species